CAGUCUGGCAUCAAGUGUUAAUCUAUGAAUUUUUCAUCACUACUCUGAGCACCACAUUCAGUGAGGCGGCCUUAUUAUAAUAAAAUUAUUUACAGGAGUACAAAAAUAUCCAGUAACCAUCAAGGUAAGUUUAAAAUGUCUGACAUCCAAUCCAAAAUUACCAGGCAUGCAAAAAAUCAGGAGAAGAUGAUCCACAUUGAGAG